rnacentral:misc_RNA from 1 species
GAAAUGCGAUAAGUAAUGUGAAUUGCAGAAUUCAGUGAAUCAUCGAAUCUUUGAACGCACAUCGCGCCCGCCAGUAUUCUGGCGGGCAUGCCUGUCCGAGCGUCAUUUCAACCAUCAAGCCCCCGGGCUUGUGUUGGGGACCUGCGGCUGCCCGCAGGCCCUGAAAACCAGUGGCGGGCUCGCUGUCACACCGAGCGUAGUAGCAAUCACCUCGCUCAGUGCGUGCUGCGGGUUCCGGCCGUUAAACAGCCUUACAAAACCCAAGGUUGACCUCGGAUCAGGUAGGAAGACCCGCUGAACUUAAGC